UUCGCCCUUAGAGUUUGAUCCUGGCUCAGGACGAACGCUGGCGGCGCGCCUAACACAUGCAAGUCGAACGGAAGUGUUCAAUCGGAAGUUUUCGGAUGGAAGAGUGGACAGUUUAGUGGCGAACGGGUGAGUAACGCGUGAGUAACCUGCCCUUCAGAGGGGGACAACAGUUGGAAACGACUGCUAAUACCGCAUAAGCCCACGGUGUCACAUGGCACAGUGAGAAAAGGAGAAAUCCGCUGAAAGAUGGACUCGCGUCUGAUUAGAUAGUUGGUGGGGUAACGGCCUACCAAGUCGACGAUCAGUAGCCGGACUGAGAGGUUGAACGGCCACAUUGGGACUGAGAGACGGCCCAGACUCCUACGGGAGGCAGCAGUGGGGAAUAUUGCACAAUGGGGGAAACCCUGAUGCAGCGACGCCGCGUGAAGGAAGAAGGUAUUCGUAUUGUAAACUUCUGUCGCAGAUGACGAAGAUAGUGACGGUAAUCUGCAAGAAAGCACCGGCUAACUACGUGCCAGCAGCCGCGGUAAAACGUAGGGUGCUAGCGUUGUCCGGAAUUACUGGGUGUAAAGGGAGCGCAGGUGGCAGUGCAAGUUGGAUGUAAAAUCUACGGGCUCAACCCGUAUAAGCAUUCAAAACUGUGCAGCUUGAGUGAAGUAGAGGUAGGUGGAAUUUCCGGUGUAGCGGUGGAAUGCGUAGAUAUUGGAAGGAACAUCAGUGGCGAAAGGCGACCUACUGGGCUUUUAACUGACGCUGAGGCUCGAAAGCAUGGGUAGCAAACAGGAUUAGAUACCCUGGUAGUCCAUGCUGUAAACGAUGAUUACUAGGUGUGGGGGCGAAAGCUUCCGUGCCGGAGUUAACACAAUAAGUAAUCCACCUGGGGAGUACGACCGCAAGGUUGAAACUCAAAGGAAUUGACGGGGGCCCGCACAAGCAGUGGAGUAUGUGGUUUAAUUCGAAGCAACGCGAAGAACCUUACCAGGUCUUGACAUCGUGCGCAUAGGCAAGAGAUUGCUGAAAUCACUCUUUUAGAGUGACGCAUAGACAGGUGGUGCAUGGUUGUCGUCAGCUCGUGUCGUGAGAUGUUGGGUUAAGUCCCGCAACGAGCGCAACCCUUAUCAUUAGUUACUACGAAAGAGGACUCUAAUGAGACUGCCGUUGAGAAAACGGAGGAAGGUGGGGAUGACGUCAAAUCAUCAUGCCCCUUAUGACCUGGGCUACACACGUACUACAAUGGCGUUAAACAAAGAGAAGCAAGACCGCGAGGUGGAGCAAAACUCAGAAACAACGUCCCAGUUCGGACUGCAGGCUGCAACUCGCCUGCACGAAGUCGGAAUUGCUAGUAAUCGCGGAUCAGCAUGCCGCGGUGAAUACGUUCCCGGGCCUUGCACUCACCGCCCGUCA
rnacentral:rRNA from 1 species